rnacentral:rRNA from 1 species
AGUGAACGCUGGCGGUAGGCCUAACACAUGCAAGUCGAACGGCAGCACAGGAGGGCUUGCUCUCUGGGUGGCGAGUGGCGGACGGGUGAGGAAUACAUCGGAAUCUACUCUGUCGUGGGGGAUAACGUAGGGAAACUUACGCUAAUACCGCAUACGACCUACGGGUGAAAGCAGGGGACCUUCGGGCCUUGCGCGAUUGAAUGAGCCGAUGUCGGAUUAGCUAGUUGGCGGGGUAAAGGCCCACCAAGGCGACGAUCCGUAGCUGGUCUGGGAGGAUGAUCAGCCACACUGGAACUGAGACACAGGCCAGACUCCUACGGGAGGCAGCAGUGGGGAAUAUUGAACAAUGGGCGCAAGCCUGAUCCAGCCAUACCGAGUGGGUGAAGAAGGCCUUCGGGUUGUAAAGCCCUUUUGUUGGGAAAGAAAUCCCGCUGGCUAAUACCCGGUUGGGAUGACGGUACCCAAAGAAUAAGCACCGGCUAACUUCGUGCCAGCCGCCGCCGUAA